CAGACAGAAACAAGGGGAAAAUACAGACAGACACGUUACACCUACGUUAGCUGAUAAAUCAGCUUCGGACACUACUUCCACAAAGAAGCAUUCCUAUAGGGUUAGCCAAGAUGCAGCAUCUCGUUCCCUUCCCAGGGAACUGUUUCACAUACAUAACCUGGUGUAGUUUUAUACUAAAGAGGAGGAAAAGUAAUUAAUGCCAAAUAUGAAUGUACUUGUAUACACCGUAACAUCUUAUUCUUAAGGAAUUAUCAAAGUAUUGCUUUUCUACACAAAGAAACAUGGUGAUGUUUCCUCUGCAGACAUCACUAUCACAACUCCUGCAUGUUUUAGAAUCUGGCAAAACAGGCAAUCAACAGCAACAUUGCAAAAUAGUAAAGGUCCUUAGCCAUCGGAACAAUGGACUCUUCACUCUGUUGCAGUCAGGGAAGAGCUUCCACUUCCUGAAGGCCAAAACAGAGAGAAUCGGGAAGGGCUUCUUCCCACAGGACAUUCAGGCCCUCAACCAGGACAACACCGCUUUCUAGAACUUGGAUUUUGUUAGAACAAUUCCCUCACCCUCUACACUCAUGCUAAUAUACCUGUAUUAUACCCUAUUAUAAAUGUUGAUUAUUUAUGUUAAUCUUUUCACUGAAUUAAUGUUUAGUGUUGUUUCCAAGUUUGCAUAAAAUGGGAGGGUUGUUUUAGGAAGGGGAUUCAGCUUAAAACCUGUGCCAGAUCAAAUAUGUAGACUACCCGAAUCAGGAAGCAGCCAAAAGAAAAACAACAACCACAACAACAAUAACACUGCAUCUAUUCACUGCAGCUACCAUAGUUUCAUGUUGCACUGCAUUGCAUUGCUUAUAUACAAACUUUAUUUUGCCAUACUUUUUAUAUGCUUUAUACAUAAUUUCUAUAUUGGCCUUCCAGUGGUCCAGCUGGAACAAAAAACAAACAAAAUUAUUUUUCUGUGUUUUUCAUGUAGAUGGGUCAGGCCGUCCAGGAUUCUUUAGCAUUUUCAGCAUUUUCCUUUAUCCCAAGAAUACCUUUUGAAAUGUAUAAAAAUAUGCAACAGCACAUGUAAACUACAACUGAAUGUAAUGUACAACAGGAAUAACAUGAACACGUACCAACAGAUAAAUUAUUUACCUGCGAUGUUGUUAAUCGGGGUGUCUUCUUUAAUCAGGUUGGAAUAAGGUUCUGUUUUUCCCAGUUCAAUCCAGUUACUGUGACUAUAGAAAUCCUUAGUUAAAGACAUGAACCAGGGUUAGAAUUACAAUGCAAUCACUGCAAAUUCAAAUCUGUUUUUUUCCAUUAAACUAGGACUUUUUAACUUGUAUAGCACUACAACUUUAAUUAACUAUAAAGUUAAUUCUAAAUAGCUUUUAUAUUUUCAUUUUAAUAAUUAGCAUUGCUUUUUUGCCAUUAAAUGUGUCAUACCUGCAAAGUAUGUAGGAUAUUGCCAAGUCUCACUCUGGCAGUUACAUAGCUCUGAUUUUUGACACUGGAUUUUAUGUCAGAAAGUCCAUUUAAAAUAAUUUGUCGUCCUGACAAAAACUCUUCGUUAUCAAAAUGGUAACUUCCAUUAGCUAGAUGCCAAACAUCGAUAAAAGCAUUGGCGCCACUUAUCUCAUAAAUGCUGAGAUGAAAGUAAAAGGAUGAAUCGGAGAAACAAGCCUUUGCCACUGAUGCUACUGACAGAG